GUAACCUGCCUUAUACAGGGGGAUAACAGUCAGAAAUGGCUGCUAAUACCGCAUAAGCGCACAGAGCUGCAUGGCUCAGUGUGAAAAACUCCGGUGGUAUAAGAUGGACCCGCGUUGGAUUAGCUAGUUGGUGGGGUAACGGCCCACCAAGGCGACGAUCCAUAGCCGGCCUGAGAGGGUGAACGGCCACAUUGGGACUGAGACACGGCCCAGACUCCUACGGGAGGCAGCAUG
rnacentral:rRNA from 1 species